AGAGUUUGAUCAUGGCUCAGAUUGAACGCUGGCGGCAUGCCUAACACAUGCAAGUCGAACGGUAACAGGCAGAGCUUGCUCUGUGCUGACGAGUGGCGGACGGGUGCGUAACACGUAGGAAUCUGCCUAGUAGUUGGGGAUAGCCCGGAGAAAUCCGGAUUAAUACCGAAUACGAUCUACGGAUGAAAGGGGGCCUCUUCUUGAAAGCUCUCGCUAUUAGAUGAGCCUGCGUCGGAUUAGCUAGUUGGUGGGGUAAUGGCCUACCAGGGCAACGAUCCGUAGCUGGUCUGAGAGGACGAUCAGCCACACUGGGACUGAGACACGGCCCAGACUCCUACGGGAGGCAGCAGUGGGGAAUAUUGGACAAUGGGCGAAAGCCUGAUCCAGCAAUGCCGCGUGUGUGAAGAAGGCCUGCGGGUUGUAAAGCACUUUCAAUUGUGAAGAAAUGCUUAAGAUUAAUAAUCUGAGU
rnacentral:rRNA from 1 species